rnacentral:rRNA from 1 species
GAACGCUGGCGGCGUGCUUAACACAUGCAAGUCGAACGGAAAGGCCCUGCUUUUGUGGGGUGCUCGAGUGGCGAACGGGUGAGUAACACGUGAGUAACCUGCCCUUGACUUUGGGAUAACUUCAGGAAACUGGGGCUAAUACCGGAUAGGAGCUCCUGCUGCAUGGUGGGGGUUGGAAAGUUUCGGCGGUUGGGGAUGGACUCGCGGCUUAUCAGCUUGUUGGUGGGGUAGUGGCUUACCAAGGCUUUGACGGGUAGCCGGCCUGAGAGGGUGACCGGCCACAUUGGGACUGAGAUACGGCCCAGACUCCUAUGGGAGGCAGCAGUGGGGAAUAUUGCACAAUGGGCGGAAGCCUGAUGCAGCAACGCCGCGUGCGGGAUGACGGCCUUCGGGUUGUAAACCGCUUUCGCCUGUGACGAAGCGUGAGUGACGGUAAUGGGUAAAGAAGCACCGGCUAACUACGUGCCAGCAGCCGCGGUGAUACGUAGGGUGCGAGCGUUGUCCGGAUUUAUUGGGCGUAAAGGGCUCGUAGGUGGUUGAUCGCGUCGGAAGUGUAAUCUUGGGGCUUAACCCUGAGCGUGCUUUCGAUACGGGUUGACUUGAGGAAGGUAGGGGAGAAUGGAAUUCCUGGUGGAGCGGUGGAAUGCGCAGAUAUCAGGAGGAACACCAGUGGCGAAGGCGGUUCUCUGGGCCUUUCCUGACGCUGAGGAGCGAAAGCGUGGGGAGCGAACAGGCUUAGAUACCCUGGUAGUCCACGCUGUAAACGGUGGGUACUAGGUGUGGGGUCCAUUCCACGGGUUCCGUGCCGUAGCUAACGCUUUAAGUACCCCGCCUGGGGAGUACGGCCGCAAGGCUAAAACUCAAAGGAAUUGACGGGGCCCCGCACAAGCGGCGGAGCAUGCGGAUUAAUUCGAUGCAACGCGUAGAACCUUACCUGGGUUUGACAUGGAUCGGGAGUGCUCAGAGAUGGGUGUGCCUCUUUUGGGGUCGGUUCACAGGUGGUGCAUGGCUGUCGUCAGCUCGUGUCGUGAGAUGUUGGGUUAAGUCCCGCAACGAGCGCAACCCUUGUUCACUGUUGCCAGCACGUUAUGGUGGGGACUCAGUGGAGACCGCCGGGGUCAACUCGGAGGAAGGUGGGGAUGACGUCAAGUCAUCAUGCCCCUUAUGUCCAGGGCUUCACGCAUGCUACAAUGGCUGGUACAGAGAGUGGCGAGCCUGUGAGGGUGAGCGAAUCUCGGAAAGCCGGUCUCAGUUCGGAUUGGGGUCUGCAACUCGACCUCAUGAAGUCGGAGUCGCUAGUAAUCGCAGAUCAGCAACGCUGCGGUGAAUACGUUCCCGGGGCUUGUACACACCGCCCGUCAAGUCAUGAAAGUUGGUAACACCCGAAGCCGGUGGCCUAACCGUUGUGGGGGAGCCGUCGAAGGUGGGACUGGUGAUUAGGA